rnacentral:rRNA from 1 species
CCUACGGGUGGCUGCAGUGGGGAAUAUUGGACAAUGGGGGCAACCCUGAUCCAGCCAUGCCGCGUGUGUGAAGAAGGCCCUCGGGUUGUAAAGCACUUUCAGUGAGGAAGAACGCCUGGUGGUUAAUACCCAUCAGGAAAGACAUCACUCACAGAAGAAGCACCGGCUAACUCCGUGCCAGCAGCCGCGGUAAUACGGAGGGUGCGAGCGUUAAUCGGAAUUACUGGGCGUAAAGCGCGCGUAGGUGGCUUGAUAAGCCGGUUGUGAAAGCCCCGGGCUCAACCUGGGAACGGCAUCCGGAACUGUCAAGCUAGAGUGCAGGAGAGGAAGGUAGAAUUCCCGGUGUAGUGGUGAAAUGCGUAGAGAUCGGGAGGAAUACCAGUGGCGAAGGCGGCCUUCUGGACUGACACUGACACUGAGGUGCGAAAGCGUGGGUAGCACACAGGAUUAGAUACCCGGGUAGUC